UGACCUCGUGAUCCGCCCGUCUCGGCCUCCCAAAGUGCUGGGAUUACAGGCUUGAGCCACCAUGCUGGCCCAAGAAUAGAAUAUUUAAACCAUUCUGUGGCUAUAUCAUUUUUAGUUAAAGUUUUUAAGGUUUUAUUCUGUUUACCAUGUGCAGGAAAGAAAAAAAUGGUAUCAGGUUAAACGUGAAACUUUGUUGUAGUACAGGUUAUUUCAGUAGGAAAUACAAGGGAAAAAAUAAAAUUUUUUAAAAAUGACAGUUAUAGUGGUUUGGGGCAAUUGGAUAAUUUGAAGUUUUUAGUAGUCAAGGGCAUGUUUCUUUCAGAGUCUAGAGAAAAUUUAGGUAAAGAAAUGAAAAAGGUGAGAAAUGACAAGCUACUUUCUGUCAUGUAGCGAUACUGGAAAGAGAAAUGGUAUGAUGGUCCUUUUGUUUUUAGGAUUCCAAGCAUAAAAGAACGGACAGAUCAAUUUUAUGUUGUUUACGAAAAGGAGAAUCUGGCCAGUCAUGGCCAAGGUUAACAAAAGAAAGGGCAAAGCUUAAUUGGCUUAGUGUCGACUUCAAUAAUUGGAAAGACUGGGAAGAUGAUUCA